rnacentral:rRNA from 1 species
AUUGAACGCUGGCGGCAGGCCUAACACAUGCAAGUCGAACGAGUGGCGGACGGGUGAGUAAUGUCUGGGAAACUGCCUGAUGGAGGGGGAUAACUACUGGAAACGGUAGCUAAUACCGCAUACCAUCAGAUGUGCCCAGAUGGGAUUAGCUAGUAGGUGGGGUAAAGGCUCACCUAGGCGACGAUCCCUAGCUGGUCUGAGAGGAUCACCAGCCACACUGGAACUGAGACACGGUCCAGACUCCUACGGGAGGCAGCAGUGGGGAAUAUUGCACAAUGGGCGCAAGCCUGAUACAGCCAUGCCGCGUGUAUGAAGAAGGCCUUCGGGUUGUAAAGUACUUUCAGCGGGGAGGCGUUACCCGCAGAAGAAGCACCGGCUAACUCCGUGCCAGCAGCCGCGGUAAUAC